rnacentral:rRNA from 1 species
CCUACGGGUGGCAGCAGUGAGGAAUAUUGGUCAAUGGGCGCAAGCCUGAACCAGCCAAGUCGCGUGAGGGAUGAAGGUUCUAUGGAUCGUAAACCUCUUUUAUAAGGGAAUAAAGUGCGUCACGUGUCCCUUUUUGUAUGUACCUUAUGAAUAAGGAUCGGCUAAUUCCGUGCCAGCAGCCGCGGUAAUACGGAGGAUCCGAGCGUUAUCCGGAUUUAUUGGGUUUAAAGGGUGCGUAGGCAGCCUUUUAAGUAAGCGGUGAAAGUCUGUGGCUCAACCAUAGAAUUGCCGUUGAAACUGGGGGGCUUGAGUAUGCCUGAGGUAGGCGGAAUGAGUGGUGUAGCGGUGAAAUGCUUAGAUAUCACGAAGAACCCCGAUUGCGAAGGCAGCCUGCC